GCCCGAGGCUGAUGUUAUCAUUCCGAGAUGAAUUCUGUUGGUUCAUUUGUUGUAUGCCAAGUGUGUGCCAGGUGUUUUAUCUCAAGUGUUCCUCCCAAGCAAAUCUUAUUUCCAUUUUAUAGACAUGUGGGAUAUUAUCCCAAAUUCACAGAGUAGAAAGUGGCAAAACUGGGAUCUGAGCUCUUUCUGCUGAAUAUAACACCUAGUGACUCCCUAUAGACAAAUAUGAGUUAUAAAGAAAUACAACCUUUAAGAUAUGGCACUAAGCAAACCAAUAGUUGGGGAUUAUAUUUUACAAAACACAUGGCUUUUGUAAAAGCAAAUGCAUAAAACUGCUGAUUAACUGUUAUUUACUGAGCACCAGUUACAUGCCAGGGACUGUCCCAGAUUUUCAACAUACAGAGAUGGAUAAGCAGGAUCUUGCUCAAAGAAGCUUACGUAGCUGGAGGAAGAGAAGUGAAGAUAAAAUCAUGUGACUAUGAAGUAAUUCAGCCUCAAUUGGGUAUGGCAUAGUCAGGGCAUAUUUCACGUGUAGGUUUUGGUGGAGGGUGCUCACAAACAGAGGAAGGAGAAAAAGUGGAUCCAGGAUAAAGUAAACAGUGUGAGAAGGCAACAAAGGUGUAAGACAAAGGAGCUGUUUGAGGACUGCAAGAAGGAAUGUGGCUCAAUAGAACAAUAUGUUCAUGGAGAAGAGUGAGACAGGAUGCUAAGGAAGUGUGUUGAGUUAUUUCCCUAGGUGAAACUGCAGGCAUUGUAUCCUCUGGCCCAUUGAACCGCCAGAGUUCAGUAAGAGUGUGUCAGAAGGCUGCUGGCAGAGUGAAAAGAGCAUAAGGUUGGGAUCCAGACACACCUGAAUUUAAAAUCCCAACUCUGGCACUUAUGACCUGCAUGAGCUUAACGAGCAUCUGAGUCUGUUUCAUCAUCUGUAAGCGUAUGAGGAAUAAAAUGGUAUUAUGUACAAGAAGCACCCAACCAUUGUUGGCACCUAGCAGGCAUUAUUUUCUCCCAUUUUCUUUUCUCUUUCCCACUUCAGAAUGGCCAGAAUACCAGGAAAUUUACCUCACAGAUUAUCUAGCAAGUAAAGGAUUUGGUGAUCAAGGUUUUCAAAAUGGCUUCAGGUGUGAUUAUUAUUUUUAUUUUUUUAUGUUGCCAUGUAUUUAUACCAAGUGAUAUGGUUUGGCUGUGUCCCCACCUAAAUCUCAUCUUGAA
rnacentral:lncRNA from 1 species